rnacentral:rRNA from 1 species
UACGAGGGGGGCGAGCGUUGUCCGGAAUUAUUGGGCGUAAAGAGCGUGUAGGCGGCUUGGUAGGUCCGCUGUGAAAGUCCAGGGCUCAACCCUGGAAAGCCGGUGGAAACUGUCAAGCUUGAGUCCGGAAGAGGCGAGUGGAAUUCCUGGUGUAGCGGUGAAAUGCGCAGAUAUCAGGAGGAACACCAAUGGCGAAGGCAGCUCGCUGGGACGGUACUGACGCUGAGACGCGAAAGCGUGGGGAGCAAACAGG